AUUAAACUUUGAAAUAGUGUUUUGAAUUUGUGGUCUGUGAAUCGGUACAUUAUCUGCAUUUGGUGAAACAAUUUUGAGUUUACAAUCGCAGUUUUUGCGUUUCCGAAAACAACUUUUUUUGUUUUGCAAAAAUCGCCGGUAAUGUAAAGAAACCUUUGAUGAAUGAGGGAUUACCCCUGUUGGCAGUAGUGUAAGCUAUUUUCUAUUAAGUGCGUUGUAUACAUUGUGUAUGAAAAUGGAAGAGCAGUUUGAAUGUACUUCUUGACGUCUCUGCUGUGCAGGUGUGAACGUGUUACGUCAGUUCAUUUGUAACUACGGUGCGAGAAAAAUUGGAUGCCCCACUUGUGAUUUGCACGAAAGAAGAGCAGGGUGCAGUGAUGCGUUUAUUGUGGUCUGAGGGUGUGCCUGGUGCCGAUAUUUAUCGAAGACUUUGUGCACAGUAUGGAGAAAGUGUUUUGUCGCGAAGAAGUGUGUAUGAAUGUAUAGAGAAAUUCAAGGAAAGUCGCACAAGUGUCGGCCAUGAAUGGUCCCCUGAAAACAGCCCUUUGAGAACGAAGAUUCACCUCUGAUGAAGAAUUGAAGACAGCGGUGCAUUCGUGGCUUGCAGCUCAGCCUAAAACAUUUUUUUGAUAAGGGAAUACAAAAGCUAGUUGACAGAUGGACAAAGUGUAUUGAAAAGCAAGGAGAUUGUGUCGAAAAAUGAUGUGUUUGUCUUUUCUAAAAGUUGAUUAAAAUAAAUUCUACAGCCAGA